UAAUCUUGCUAAAUGAUGUAAGGAGGCUCAAAACUGUAAUAUCUUGACUGGACUAAGAUGCUCUGUGGCAGGUACAGAACUGGAGGUUCUUCUCAGUGGAGAUGGGGGGGUUUACAUCAUGAGGUGUGGUUGAGGUAAGGGAUGAGAGGAAUCACCAGCAGAAGGACAGAGAGAGAUUUUUACUUCAUUUUUUAAUGUUUUGAGCCCUUAAUACACUCUCACCAUAAGCUGUGUUUGAUAGAAAAUACUGGGGUGUUCGUGUUUUAUUACAGCAUAAAAAGUAUAUAUUCUAUUUGGCCUUGUUUUAUUAUAGUAUAUAAAAUAUAUAUUCUCUGGGUAGCCGAGGUAGCAAUUACAUCUGAGCAAACUUGUAUUUACGUCUCUGUGUAAGGACCCACCCUCCACCUGCAGUGGAAGGAGGGGGCUGGGUAGGAACAAAACCUUAUUCUCGUGUGUCCACACAUUGAAGAGUUAGCUGGGAGCAGAUACUACACUUCCAGCUGCUGUCCUGUUAUAGCACACAACAGUGUUGAUGUGUAGCCGUAUCCCAGCCAUGUUUAGCUGUGUAAAUACUACUCGUACCAUAGCUAUCAUCUGAGCUACUGAACUUCACGUUCAUCUAGGUUUCUGCUCCUCAUUACGCAGCGUCUGGGCAAGGUCUCGCCAGUCCAAGGCACUUCUUCAGCUUCAGCACGCUCCCAUUGCGUGCAGGGGAGCUGAGCUGUCCAGCAGGACACUCAUGCUGCUUCCCAACAGCUUUUCUCCCCGUUUUGAAGAAGGAUGUGGUGACUCUGCUGCUCCAGUGACAGUGUUAGAUAUGCUCCUCUUUCUGGAAAACCACGUUCAGUCUUUGGAAGAUGUGCUGUAAGUAGUGGCUGAUUUCUCACGUGAGACUGUGAGUAGUGGAAGAGUGAAAAUAACAGGAGAGUGGUUUUUCUGCUAUUUCAGUCUCUGAUUUAAAUCAGCUCCUGAGGCAGCAUUCGUUUCUGGGAGGAGAGUGAUGCGUUUGGGUUGAGAUUUCUGCAGUGGGAGCAAUCUUCUGGCAUAGUGAACACUGCUAUUUCAGAGUUAGCAGAGAUGUUUAAAGGUGGCCAGUUACACUUACAGCACAGUAAGUCACACUCCUCAUAUCUGCACCACUGAGAAGCUGAACUGUAGAUCCCCCUGUUAUCAUUAAUGGAAAGGCACAGAUUAAAAUGUAAACCACAAAAUAAAUCCAUUAAAUAAACCAAAGAUCGAAGCAAAGAAGAAAUGUGAAAUCCUCUUGUAGGAGUUACACCUCCUUCUUACUUCCAGUUCAAAAUCAACCAGUGCAGGAGAAUUUAAUGAUACCACUGUUUAGUGAAAUUAGACUUGACAGUAGGCAGUUACCUUUUAUUUUGGUUGGUUAGGAUUUGCAAUUGUUUGACACUCCUUAGAAAUCACAGUAACCUGUUUUAAGGGCAGGCAAAUUAAGAUUCCCUCUCUGUGUACAACAUUACUCAUCACACCACAGCUGCAUGCUAAUUGGAAAAUAACUAGUGGAUGAGCAUGUCUCACACAAGCUGUCAUCUGAGCAUGGCAGGUAACGUACCAGAGCUGAGCUCACACCGAAUUUGCUCAUACACACAACAGCUAACUAAAAAAAACCUGCUGCAGGAAAUUAAUGCUACAGAAACUUCUCAGAUGCAAAAAUAAGUCUUAAUCUGAAAUGAUCCUGCUGAUUUCUUUUGGGGAAUUCACCUGAUCUCUCUUCCCUUCAGUGCCCCCAGCAUAGGAACACAUGGUUUCCUACCUGAACCUCAGCCCUGGCUGUUUUUAUUCAGAGCCUGCUGUUGAGUUAGAGGAACCCUGGGGUUUGCUGGGCCAAGCCAGGCUUCCAGGGAGAAGACCUCUGAAGGCUACACACACGAGACGACAGGCUACCAGCUUGGAUCUCAGCGGGGUGCAGGCUGCUCUCGCUGCUGUGACGCCAGCUGGGUCUGCAGCCUUAUCCAGAGCCAGUCCAGGUGUCUGCAGGUGACUUUGGUGGGUGAGAUGGAGCAGGGGCAGCUCCCAAGAGCCUGCAAGUUCCCAUGAAGCACAAACUACUCUGAAGCACCAACCGUCUAAGGAGAAAAGACAUUUAGAGCACCUGUACUGAAAGGGAGAAGGUGGAAGAGGCUGUACCAGCCCUGCUUCCUGCGCUGGUACACAGAUUCUAAACACAGGGGAUCGAGGAGAGGGCUAUGCCAAAUGGACAGGCUCAGCACUGCGCACGUCAGGGGCAGAUCUGAACACAAGCUCAAUGGCAACUCUCUGCUCCAGCUCCCAACUCCAUCCUCCACCUUCUCUUCCCGAAGUAACAAAGACGUUUGGUUUCCUCCCAGCCCUUCUCCCCUCCCCCUUGCUGGCACUGGGGUUAUUUAUACAGAAUGUGGAAACAAUUUGCAGGAAAGUGAACAAUGUAAGCUGAGCGAGGCAAGGGAGGCAAGUUCACUGUGCGUGCUUCCAGCCCAGGAGUGGAACACUGCUUUCCUGGGGAGGGAUGGAGAGGGAGUGGACACUUUUCCUUUCUUUCUGCUCUUCUCUUUCAAGGUCCCGCUUUCCAUCUUGCCAGGUUGGGUCCAAACCAGAGCAACCAGAUCUGACUGCAUGUUUUGGAGGGAGUUCAGGUUGGAUCCCUCCCUCCAGCACAGCUUGAUGAGGCAGUAUCUGUGUACUUAAUCCGUGCGGAGGUUUUGCUCUUGGAUCAUUGCUGCUCCUGGAUUAGCAUUAAUGAAGAGCAUGUGUGGUUGAGAGGUCCUGAUUCAGGCCCUGAGAGCUGCAGUGUUGCUAAAGGCAUUGUUUUCUGUUCUACAUAGCUAUUCCAAAGAACAGUUUGGCUGGAAGAUAAGAUUCCUCAGGAGUUAACAAGACAGCAAAGUCUAAUUUCAGUUUCUCUCCCCUCACCCACUUAGCAUGACGUUUUCAGAACAUCCCAGCACCUUGCUAGCACCAGUGUGGGUGUCUUUGUAAAUCAAGCAGUUUGCUUUAGUGCCCACCAAAGAGCUGAGCUCUGCUGCAGCUUGAGAACAUGCAGGGUGUCAGCCAUGGGAAGCUGGACCAGCACUAGAUUUGGUACCACUCAACAGGUCUGAGGUCUUCAGAUCUCGCUGUGCACUGGGCUCCAUACUGUGAAGUCCUCAAACAAAAGCAGUCCAAACCCACACACCUUUGGGUGUUGCAGAGGGAAGGAAAUGUUCUCCGCAGGUUGCACAUCCGAGUGCCUGCCUUGGCAAGCUCCUUCCUUCCCAGGAGCUUGCAGCCUCCUUUCUCAAUAGCCUCAAGACUUGGGACAUGAUCCAUGCAAGUUGUGCUGAGCUGGUAGGGCAGGGCCGGGAAGCUGCCAAGUGGGACAUCGUGUUCCUCCCUAAACCAGGCGAAUUUCCAGCUGUGAGCUGGUGCAGCAGAUACACUGUGAUCUGAUGGCACAGAGGGACAGUUGAAAGGAACCUGUAAUAGGGCUGUUCCUCCCUGAGAUCUUGCACUGGGCUUCCAACACAAGAGGGAUGUUGUGUUGCAGCAAGUCCAGAGGAGGCCCCGGAGCUGCUGCGAGGGCUGGAGCAGCUCUGCUCUGGAGCCAGGCUGAGAGAGCUGGGCUGGGGCAGCCUGGAGAAGAGAAGGCUCCUGAAGGGGAGACCUUAGAGCAGCUCCAGUGCCUGAAGGGGCUCCAGGAAACCUGGAGAGGGGCUUUGGACAAGGGCCUAUAGGGACAGGACAAGGGGAAUGGCUUUAACCUGCCAGAGGGGACACUGAGAUGAGGCAGAAGUUCUUCCCUGUGAGGGUGCUGAGGCGCUGGCACAGGGUGCCCAGAGAAGCUGUGGCUGCCCCAUCCCUGGCAGUGUUCAAGGCCAGGUUGGACACAGGGGCUUGGAGCAACCUGCUCUAGUGGAAGGUAUCCCUGCCCGUGGCAGGAGAUUGGAACUGGAUGAGCUUUAAGGUCCUUUCCAACACAAACCAGUCUGGGGUUCUAUGAUCCUCUCCACCUUCCAGUACUUACUGCUCCUUCUCAGCCUUCGUCUAUACAUGAAGUGUGAACUUCCAGUGUUUGUUCUGUAAAACGCCACAUCUACUCUGCCACAUGGAAUGUCAUGUGUCUCUGUGGACAGGCUGACCCUCCUAAAGCUAACGGCAUGGCUCAGGGACCGUUCCAAGUGCUGCUCCUUUCUUUAGCCAGUUCUUGGCCUGAAUUAACAACUCUAGGUGUGAAACACAGAAAGGGCUGGAGCAAAGAUACUUUGGCCACCUCUGUUUUCUGGUCGGGGGCAGUUCACCUCUUUUCUUUGGGCUCUUCUAAUUUCCACUGUCUCUCCAGAAGGGCCCAGGAACAGCAGCAAUUUCUUUUCUCUUCCAAGCCAGGCACCAGCGCAGGGACUGGAAGCCUAUGGCUGGGAGCAAGGAAUGGUUGUGGCAGUCUGCCCAUCCCCGUCGCCUCAGUGCCCACAUGCAGGAGCGCAGCUCUGCAGCGGCUGUGGCCCCACGGAGCAGUGACUCUCACAGUUCCCAACACAACCAUGAGCAAUCUCCUGAACGGAGCGUUCUAACUUCACCUGAAGAAAAGCAACUGAAGCAGAUGGGCUUGUAAACAGCAGAGACUUGGCUCUCCCACAGAGCUCCUUGCGGAGUGGAAGGGAGCGCAGUGGUUAAUAAACACCGAGCAACUUUCAUUUUCUGGGCUGAAAUGGGAUGAUCUGGGGAGGGUAGGACAGCACAGGAACAGCAACUAUCACAUUCUGGCACAGUCAGCUAUUCCCAGCAGAAGCUGUUCGUGUUUGAACUUGUAGCAAAUUGGAGAAUACGGGAAAGGGGGGAUAUGUUUUCCAGCAUCAGGGAAUUUGUGGGUGAGGAAAACAAGGUUUCCAGCAGUCCUUUUGCCCUAGCAUUUUGGUCUUGGUUUCUGAAGAGGCAUCCUGCUGUUCAUCUGUCAUUCUUCCCUCCCCUUGAAUUACUUCUCAGACUGUCAGUCAAUGAGUGACUUCAUUGAGAACAGAAUUCCCACAAGUUACCUGAAGGUUUGCAGCUGGACAGAGGAAAGAGAAACCCAAAGUAGGGUCACCACUGAGGGAAGGAACCUCCAGCACGCAUACGUUUGGGGUAGCAGCAGCAGCCAGCUGGCCAGGCAGCUCCAAAUGAGCGUGCUCUGCUCUUUGUCCAGCCAAGCACAUGCAAGACAUGGACGUGAGCAGGAAUACUGCAGGGAAUGGCAGAGGGAGAAGAUGAUCUGCGGGAUCUAAUUCCCUAAUAACCCAGCUUAGGACCUUUGGCUUCUCAGGGAUGCACUUGUCGCUGCAGCAUUCCAUGAGUGCAGCGAUGGUGAGGAGCUCCAAGGCGCAUCAGCCUCGAGUGGGAAGUUCAGGGACCCCAUCUGUCUGUCCUGCCACGUCCUCUCCCGCAGGUGCACCACGGGCACAGUCACAAGGGAGAUGGGCAGAAAAGCCUGGUGCUGCCAAGGACCAUCAGGGCCUUCAGACCAGGCAUUGGCAAACUUCUGAGUACAUCUGGCUGCCCCCAGGAAUCAGCACAUGAACUGUUUCCUGCAGGGACACAGAUCCCUGACUAUAUAAAGUCCAUAUUUUCUUGCCCUUUCCUUACCCUGUGUGUAAGAGAGCCUAAGCCUGAAGCAGGCAGGCAGGUGUCUUCCCCUCGUAGAGGGCUGGGGACUCCUUAUUUUUCUUUCACGCUUGGGCAGGACCUUUUUUCCUGCCAUUUCCAGCCACCCUUUGCUUCCCAGGAGAACCCAGGGGGAUUUGGUUGCUCAGCCUUAGAGCCAGGAAAUGAAUGAAGAGGGGCAGGAAAAGAAACAGAGUAAGGAGGUUCACUUCCAUAGUUCAUUGAGCCCAGAGAGAUUUCUAGAAACCACAUGUUAUCACGUGUGAAAGAAAUGAAAGAUGAUAACCAACGUGGAAGAAUGGAGCAGCCCAAAACUCCCACAGGCCGGUGAGUCUCCAGACAUGUUGGAGAGGCUUCAACAGCCUCAACAGCCUCAACAGAGGCUUCAACACAAUUUAAUGUGUAUCUGCUGGCAAAGAGCAGCCCCUCCACCUUGUUCCCAUCAAGAAUAGGUCCUGAUUCAUGUCAGUGUUUUCUUUCCUUGGACAGGGAAACUGCUGCAGAUCCUGGGGAGUGCAAGAGUCACUGAGAAGACAGACCUAUGAAAGAUGGUUCCACACUGGGAUUUUAGAGGGGUUUGUGCUUGAUCUAGGGUUGGAGAGUUUGUGUUUCUGCUUUUCUUGGGGAUUGGGAGGGGGGAGAUCACUAAGUCCCCGAGUCUUACUGUAAAAUUAUUAGAAUCUGGAACAGAUUAAAGAAAAGACAUUUAGGGACAACUAAAUGCACAGAGCAGCUUGAAUAUACCUUCCACCAGAGUUCAUCCGGUCCCAGAUAAAGCCUCUGAAAUGGGCAGUGCUUUAAUCAAGUAUAUAUGUCUGGGGACUGAAAACACAAGAAAGAAUGCUGAGGAGGAAGGGAUAACGCUUUCUUCAUUUCUUGGGGAGAAAAAGCCCUAAAGUUAUUAAUUUCUUUUCCUGGGAAUGUCUCAGCUGGACAAGAACCACUACAGGGUAAGGUGGUCCCAGAACCUGACACUGGCAGGACCAGUGGGCUCACUUCAUUCUGGCACAAGUCGUUCUGGCAUUUCUAGGAAGAUCUGUAAUUCCAAGUAAUAACCUCAGAGGUUAAUUGAGGUCUGACAAGAAGUUCACUUGGUAGGUGGGCCAGAGGGGGCUUUGAGGAAGUGUUUAGCUCAGUGUUGUUUUAAGCAUUAAUUGUGCCUGGGAAAGGGAGCUGCAGUAUCAGGAAUGACACCCUCACACAGCUUGGACUUGGAGACAGAGAAUCAGGGGGUCUGGUGAAAUCCCGUUGCCUGUUACAGCAGAUGGAAAUGAGCUCUGAAUUAAAGCAAUUGUUUCUGUUUCGUUUGGGCCCUGUAUAACUGGACCCUGGGUAAGGCCUGAUUGCCUGAGAAUGGGCGCUCAGCAGUUUUGAGAGGCUGUCAGAAGGAAGCUAUCCAAAAUGCAGACUAUACGCAUCUGAA